rnacentral:lncRNA from 1 species
AGUUCAAAAUACUUCACUAUUAUUGACAAUCUGUGAUGUAUUUUGUAAGUUAUCUCUAAAUAUUUCAGACUCAAGUGCUUUCUAGAUCUAGAGAGUGGCACUGAAUGGUAGUUCAUGCUUCUUCUCAGCACUGAUAUCCAAAGAGGAAUAGACUUUCUUUUAAUUCAGAUCAAGUAAUAAAAAGGUCCUGGACUUUGCUGAAUGUUCUUGAGUGCACAUGACUGUGCCACUACUUGGUUUACUGCUGUGAAGUGCUCCGGUUUCAAAAGACCAAAUCCUUUCAUCAGAAGUUGUACUUUGAAAAUGCAGGAGACCAAGUAUUCAGAUAAACUGCUGAGCCAAACUGGUCAACCAGCUUCUGGGGAUGGAGGAGGCCUGAAAAUCCAGAGGACGAGUCAUAGAGCACAACUGGAAAAUGUGAGGGGAGUGUGAGUGCCUUGAAAAAAUCAGGCUGAACUCUUUGAAUCAGGAAUUCCUAUCAGUUUCAAAAGCCAGUGAGCAUAAGUGAGAGGCAGAAUCUCGGAUUUAACUGCUGACGUUUUCUUGGAGAAAGGCUGGGCUAAUCACCACAGGGAUGGUGUGCAAGUGGUGUUGAUGCUUUGAAGAACUUGCAGGGAUGAAGACUGAACAGAGAUGAUGCAAGCCUCAAAGGUCACAGCUGUGAAGUACCAACCUGAGUUAUAUAUAUGUUGAUCUAAUAUUGUCACAUGCUCUAUAGGUUGGCAAACUCUGAUGUGUUGCAUUCAGUAUGAAAAUCACACAUUCUUUGUGCCACUUCAAAAUGCACAUUUCUUAAUUUCUUAACUUACGCCACUUCUUUCACCAAAUCGCCUUGUUAUGUCUUUCUUUCACUUUUGAAAAGGCUGAUCUCUCCGACGUCACUCAGCCUAGAAAGCUUCAUCUAUUGUGGAAAACUGGAGGUCUGUUUAAUUGAUACAGCCAUUUCAUAGUAGCACUUCCUUAUCUGUUAAUCUCUUUUGCUGACAGUCUCUUUUAAGUACUUUAUUGGAUGAGGAUUCUUUCUGUUUCUGUGUAGCCUGGAAAUAUAUAUAAAGAAACCCUACCAUUUCAAAGUUUCCUACUCUAAAGAUGUACAUACAUCUAAUACUAUCUUCACUGUAUUGCAGUCAGUUUGCAAAGGCAGAGGACGUUUUGAUACCCUUCCUAGCUCUGUCGUAUGCUCUUUUCAUAAGAGAAAGACUGAGCUAAUGUAAGCCAGACACCUUCCCUGAUAUUAUUGUUCCCCUUUGAUUUGCGUUGAAUGCAAAGUUGUAACAAUAGCUGCUACAUUCACUAAUGGUAUUCUAAUCUGUGAAACCUAAUUAUGAAAACUUAAAACCUCCAACUCUAAAGACUUCAAAAAGAGUUACAAGUCACAGCUUACUUUUAAUUUGCAUUGUACUGAAAAAUAUCAUUAGCAUUCACAUGCUGC